CUUUGUUUCCAGCAGUGUUUAAGGGACAUGGCUUUGAAGACUGAAAAAUGUUUUAGUUUUUAAUGACCCAUUUGAAUGCAUAAAUGCGACCAAAGUUCUGUAUUUAACCCACUGAACACAAUUGGUUUUUUAUCUUAGAAUCUGUCAUUUGCUACCAUCUAUGAUGUUCUAUCAACAAAACCUGUCCUCAACAAGCUGACUGUAUUCACAACCUUGAUAGAUGUCACCAAAGAUCAAUUUGAAAGCCACCUUCGAGAUUGCCCAGACCCUUGUAUAGGCUGGUGAGCACACAUCAGCCAGCAUACAGGACAGACAUACUCAGACCUGAAGAUGUGUUCUCCAGCAUGCCUGGUCUCCUUCCAUAGGCUAAGACUCAAGGCCUCUUGUCUUUAGUCAUGAUUGUCCUCAUGUUUCUGUUGUUUACAGAUGUUUUGUUGUUUGUUUGGUUUGAUCACCAUCAUCACUUCCACUUAUAGGUAAAUCCUUUAAGGGACGCCAUGUAGAUAGAAAUUGCCAGUUCAUUUCACUUCGACACUGAGGAAGUGGUAACCUGACCUCUAUGGAACCCAUCAAGGUUCUCUGAUGGUGUUUAAUCCAGUGCCCUGUGUGAUUAAUGUAAAAGUCAUUCACCUUUUCUUUUUUAAUCUACAUAUUUAUGUUUUUCUGUACACCAGUAGCUUUCUUUUUUCCUGGUUCUCUCUUAGAACCACC
rnacentral:lncRNA from 1 species